AUCACGCUAAAGCGUGUAAUAGACACGCUGGUCCACUAGAGGAUGCGUGUCAAUGUCACGCUUUGCCUCCUCUAGGCGUGAAAAUGACACGCAUUUAUGAGGAUGAUAACCAAUAGGGGGCGAUAAUUUCUUAUUGCCAACAACUUCAACAAGAGAAGCGACGCAGUGAUAUUGCGUUCUCUGGAGUUCCAUGGGUCCGGUCAGUACCCACCACCCUUCCCUGUUAACAUCACCCACAGUUUAUACUUUUUCUUAGAAAACCAACGGCUCUUUUAAGAGCCACUUCAAUAGACCCUUUUACAGCCCACGUGAUCAAAUAGCCUGCGUGUGCAUUUUGGCAAUGGAAGUGAUGUUAUUUCCCAGUGGUUCUAACGUGUAAGCAACUCAGAAAGUUUAUUAAAACGAUUUCCCCACAUCAAAACGUCUGGUUGUAGCAUUUGGUUGCACUAAUAUAAUAUACGUAUAUGUAUUUGGCCAUCUGCUAACGUAUUCUAUCCACUCCACUAUAGUACACGGUACACAAUUUAACCGCUUUCUCUACUUCUUAUAUUAUCUAUUGAUUUUCUGUGUUCUCCUCUACAUCUUCUCAUGUAAAGCUGCUUUGCAACAAUUAACACUUGUGAAAAGCGCUAUAUAAAUAAAAUUGAAUUGAAUUGAAUUGAAUUUGGUAACUGUGUAGAAGAUAAGUCAACUUUUUAAACUAACUUUCUCUGUCUGUGUUGCUUCACUGCUGAUUCUUGCCGUGCUUCCGUUGCCAAACUGCGUGCACAUACGUUGCCACGUCAUCAUUGUGUACAAACAGUAAAAGGGUCACUCACUCACUCCCUCACUCUUUCGCAAGCUUCUCUGUUUUCAAAUAAGUAUUGUAAUUUUAUUCUUUUGUUUUUCUUUCAUUUUACUCUCUCUCUCACUGUCCAAAACACUUAGCCUAUGCCUCUUUGUCUGACCAAUGUAGUAUUGUUGAAAUGGCUGCUGAGCAAGACAGAGGGAGAGCAAAGGAUGUUAUUUUCAUAGCAGACAAGCUUCUUGCUCAAAUCAAGGCAGAGGAACCCAAGGGCAAAGCAACAGCCAUUAAAGGGAGUACAUUUAAUGUCAGAUAGGUGGAGAAAAUGCUGAAGGAGGUCCACUACUAAAAAGAAGCAGAAGCGAAGAGAUACAAAGCUUCAGCUACAGUCUGUUUAUUGCCUACAGUGAGACCUGCACAUUUCUGCACUUGUGAUCAUGCAAACAUCCAGUGUAGAGCACUUCACCUGCCCGGCAUGUACACCCAACAAUGCUCACUCUUUGUGCAGAUGGCAACAGAAAAACCUCAGACCUUUACUGCAGAUUAGACCUUUCCUUUCUGUCAUGCAUGCCAAGGCUCAUUCAACCAAGUGUCAGGUGUCACACAUUUGUUAGAUAAUCUGGCAAAAAUCAGGAAGGUGCUGGUACAACUGCAGUUGAGGAGGUCGAAAUGGUCAACAGCUACCUGUCUCGUUGUGGCCUCACAACCAAGUAUCUAAUUGAUGCCUAUUUAUAAUAUUUUAGGAAACCUGUCUUUAUUUUUUCACUUUUUUAUUCUUUCUGUCUAGUACUUUGAGAUUGCAUAAGAGUAAGCUGUAACUGUUCAAAGUACAUAAAAAAUUGGCAUGUAGUUCUCUCUUAAAUUUUAAACUCAAUUGUCAGUUUCUGGAUUAAUUGAAAUACCACAAGCAUUAAUGGGACCUUUCUUCCUUCAUCACAUACAUGUCUUGUUAAUAGCCAGGAAUGACAUGCUAACUGUCCAUGCUAUUGGGUGGAACCAACGGAAGCAAGAAGGCCUUCAGCAUUAUCCAGCAGAUACAUCAAGAAAGGCUGAGUCUCAGAGACGGGAAGAUUUGAGCAGUGAACUGGGGUGUCCUGAGAACAUUGUGAAUCAGUGGGUACAAGAUGUCAGACAAAAGGCUACUGAUGGAUUUGGUAGGUACCAGAUGUGAUGACCUACAUAACCUUCAGAAAUGAAUUGAACAAAUGUUUCUUAGUCUUCAUUGAAAAGCCAGCCUUUGUAAUCACACUGAAAUCCAGCAACACCCUCACCAAGAAGAUUUUUUUUGAUGUAUACAUGUCAAAAGUGCACCUUCAAGAAGCAAAGAUCAUUGUGAUGAGGGAGAUGAGACACCACUGCACCGCACCUAUCUCAGAAGCCUGGCUAGGAACAUCAGGAAAAUGAUAUCAGAAAUGUCUUCAGGCAAAAACAGUGGCAGUUUAAGUGAAGAGUGUCAUCGCUGGCUACUGUGUCGUCUUCAGAAAAGGCUUGCAGAUGUAGAGAAGAAGUUCCAAGUUUGCUCAAGUUACAGCCAGGCUUUAGGACAGUGUUCUUCACUCCCAACCCUGGAGAGCCGGUGUCCUGCAGACUUUAGCUCCAACCUUAAUCAAACACACCUGAAAGCUAAUCAAUGUCUUCAUGUUCUCUAGAAAAUCACAGGUAUGCGUGUUUGAUUAAGGUUGGAGCUAAGCUCUGCAGGACACCGGCUCUCCAGGAUUGGGAUUGAAGAACACUGCUUUAGGACCAAAUGCUGUUUCUCUGCUGGAGGAUGAGCCUGAGGAGAUACUGGAGGACCACAAAGAGCUAGAUUAUGAGAGUUCAGAUGACAUUUUGGAUUUGGAACUCUGAACUGGUGUAUGCAUUUAGACUGUGUGUCACACUGAACUGCAGGUGUGUUUCAUGGAAAACAUAAAACUAUUUGGAAAUUAAAACUAUUCAUGGAUGUCUGAUACAGUGCUUUUAUUUUAGACAACCGUUUCCUGCAGUGUGUAAGCAACAUUAGCCUCAUAGAUUGAUGGGAAACUACUGUUAAAUAAGUUUUUGUAUGAUAAUCCAUAUCUCCGUUUACAAGCAGCAGGUUAGCUAUUAGGUUUCCCCUCCACCUCCGAUGUUUCACAGACUACUCCUACAGUCAACUGUGUUGCUACAACUUGCAAAUGCCACAAUCCUCUUACAGUGGUUACUUCACCAAACUGUGCCCAUAUCAUCUUGUCAACAUAAUGACAUUUACUGUAGAAAAAUAUGUAACACAGGCAAAAUAGAUUUGCACAUGUUACUUGUUAUAUAGUUUUAUACUGUAUCAAGUUUUUUUCACAGUGAUUGUGGAUACUUUUGGAGUGAACUAACUGUAUGUCAUUAGAUGAAAUACUUUCCAUAAAUGACUGAUCAAUAGCCUACCCAUAUUUGAUGCAUGAGUUAAUACUGUUGUUACCUUUUCAAUGAAAGGAAAUGUUUUACAAUGCCAUUUUCUUGAGGUAACUAUUAAACUGUUUCAUAUAUGUACCUGCAAAAUUGUUUACUUUUCCCUGUUUUGAAAAUGAGAUGUAAAACUGCUUUAUUUAUUUAUGCCUUAAAAAUAUAUGAUAGUUUAAUACAGGGUAAAUAAUAAAAACUUGUUAAUGAGUUAGAAUAUACAGUUGUGUUGUAUUAUUUAUGGCAUAGUUGUUAUAAUUAAUACAAGUUUUUCAUUACACUGCUGCAUAACUUUGCUCUAGAUAAUAGUAGGGUAUUAACACUAGACAGUUCAAAGAUGAUUAACUUUUAAGUUAUGUAUACUAUCAAUACAUAUAUUUACAUAUAGUAUGUGUGAAUGCUUUUGGUCUUUGAUUAAAUGCUUGUCAGCACGGGAAAAUGCUUUGUAAAUA